GAUAAUUUACACGCAGUUUUCACCUUAUACUACGUUAGGCUUCUUUAUAAACAGCAGAAUUCUGGUCUGUCACUUUGUUGUUUUGUGAAUUAUCCAAUUUCACUCUGACUAGAACUAGCUAAAUAUUGCUGAAAGUUGCCUGAGGAUAAUUUGUAAAUAUACAUGCUUUGACAGUGUUUUCUUCCCUAUCAUGCUUCCUUUUUAUGAACACGAUAAAAAAAAAGACUACUGGCAAGAACUGUUUUGAUAGAAGUAAUUUUAAACAACUACUAGGAGAGUAUUUGCUAUGGAUUUCAAUACUCAGAUUAUAAGAUGCUGUAACUGUAGUACUUAUUUACCUUGGGUUUUUUGGCUGAAAAAGUGUGUAUAUGCCUGAGAAAGAGUGUAUAGGUGUAUAUGUACACGUACACAUGUUCACAACCAUGCUCUUUGAAGUUCUGGAUUUUUGGAGAAACAUACACUCUUGUCUUUGUUUUAGAAAAAUCCUAGAGAUAGCACAGCUGAAAGCACUGUGAAAUCUUGCAUUCUUGUCCUAGAUGCUGCCAGAAAAAACAAGCCUUUUAUGCUUGAGGAGGCUUGAGAUGUUUUCUUGCCAGUUGCGAGUCCUACUUCUCAAAGUAAAAGAGAGCAAGUAAUGUCUGUGAAAAAAGUUUUCCUGACAGACGGACGGCGUGCAGGCAGCUCUCCUGUGCUCUGCCAAUCCAUAAGUAAUUAAAGUUCCCUUGUUGGCGAAGAGUCAGUUCUGCAACUAAUAAGGAAAAUUAAAACAGGUGAUGCAGUGGCUAUCUCCAAAGGAGAGAGUUUUGAGUGCAAAGUAAAAUAAAGAAGAAACUGGGUUGUAUGUCUCUGAAUAAAUGGUCUCCCAUCAGAAAAAGAUUAAUUUUAAAUCACUGUUCUAGUUCUUAUGUUAAAGAUUGUUUAAUUCACCCAGAGCUAUUUGGCCUUGAGGAUGAAUUCCUACAAUUAAGUGUUUAUGAUUGAAAGUGCUGCCAUGGAAAGCAGACAGAUGAAUAUCAUUUCAGGAGUACUGUGAAUCAUUAAGUGAGUUGUAGAACCUUUUCCUUGGCAUGAGCCACUUUUAAAUUUCAGACUAAGGCUAUAAUAGACUUCAGCAUAAGGCCUGACGUGUUGCUGUAUUUAGGAGUUUGAAUAACAGGAUAAUCAACAUGCACUAAUGUGUUUAUAUAAUUUUAAACUUCUUACAGUUAAUUGAAAAUAUGCUGCUUGUGGUAUGUAUGUGCAUAUGCUGCUCGGAUCGAGUACAUUUUUCAGAUUAGUGCGUUAAGUGUUAGUGUCAGGUAAUGAACUUGACCUGCCCCUGAUGUGUUGUCCUCUUUUGGCUCAAGAUAGGCAUAGCUGCUUUCCCCGCUUCAGCGUAAAGAGAGGCUGGACGUGGAACAUCAUACAAACCUGAACAGAUGACAAGAAAACAGUGGUUGCCAGUGAUGUUACAGAUAGAAGCAGCCAUGGCAGGAGGGAGCGUGAGCUUUCCAGUGGAACAUGUGAUGGUGGGGAUCUGCGCCAGCGGGGCCCGCCUACAGGUUGCUACUGAAUGCAUCCAGAAGAGGCUGGACCAUGCGGUUCUAAGCGAUGUUGCCAUGCUGACAGCAGAGAGGAAACCAGUCCUGGACAAGACAGAACUCAAAUGGACACCGUAUCCCUUUUUUCUGCAGAACACCCCCUGCAAGAAACCAGUUUCAUAACUCUUCAGGGUACAAAAGACCUGCAAUUUAAUUUCUUGAAUAUCUUAAGGAUAAAUAAAAUGUGUGCAGUCUA